rnacentral:rRNA from 1 species
AACGAACGCUGGCGGCGUGCCUAACACAUGCAAGUCGAACGAGAAAGUUCUUCGGAACGAGUAGAGUGGCGAACGGGUGAGUAACGCGUAGGUAAUCUACCAUUUAGUAGGGAUAACCAGCCGAAAGGCUGGCUAAUACCGUAUAAAGUUUUCUUCCAUAAGGAAGAAAAGCAAAGAGGCUUGCCUCGCUGAAUGAUGAGCCUGCGUCCCAUUAGCUUGUUGGUAAGGUAAAAGCUUACCAAGGCGACGAUGGGUAGCUGGUCUGAGAGGAUGAUCAGCCACACUGGGACUGACACACGGCCCAG